rnacentral:rRNA from 1 species
GACGUAGGGUGCAAGCGUUAUCCGGAUUCACUGGGUUUAAAGGGUGCGUAGGUGGGUUGGUAAGUCAGUGGUGAAAUCUCCGGGCUUAACCUGGAAACUGCCAUUGAUACUAUCAAUCUUGAAUACCUUGGAGGUGAGCGGAAUAUGUCAUGUAGCGGUGAAAUGCUUAGAUAUGACAUAGAACACCAAUUGCGAAGGCAGCUCACUACACGGUCAUUGACACUGAGGCACGAAAGCGUGGGGAUCAAACAGG